rnacentral:rRNA from 1 species
AAAGCUCACAUUUGAAAUCUAGCACCUUCGGUGUUCGAGUUGUAAUUUGAAGAUGGUAACCUUGGGUUUGGCUCUUGUCUAUGUUCCUUGGAACAGGACGUCAUAGAGGGUGAGAAUCCCGUCUGAUGAGAUGCCCAUUCCUAUGUAAGGUGCUAUCGAAGAGUCGAGUUGUUUGGGAAUGCAGCUCUAAGUGGGUGGUAAAUUCCAUCUAAAGCUAAAUAUUGGCGAGAGACCGAUAGCGAACAAGUACAGUGAUGGAAAGAUGAAAAGAACUUUGAAAAGAGAGUGAAAAAGUACGUGAAAUUGUUGAAAGGGAAGGGCAUUAGAUCAGACUUGGUGUUUUACGAUUAUCUUCUCUUCUUGAGUUGUGCACUCGUAUUUCACUGGGCCAGCAUCGAUUCGGAUGGCAAGAUAAUGGCAGUUGAAUGUGGCUUCACUUCGGUGGAGUGUUAUAGCUUCUGCUGAUAUUGCCUGUCUGGAUCGAGGGCUGCGUCUUUUGACUAGGAUGCUGGCGUAAUGAUCUAAUGCCGCCCGUCU